CUUAAAAAAUAAGUGACGAUAGGUGAGCUGUGUAUGUGAACGCAAUAAAAGUGCAAGGAAGGCAACAGUGUUACGCAGCAGAUUGAACCAUUCGGACUCAAAGCGGUUUGUUAAGUUAAAAAUUGCUGGCAAAGUGAUACCACAUCUUUGGACGAUCCCGUCAUUUUAAGUUUAACUUUCCAUGUGGUGCAGACAGUGCGAUCAAUUUAACCAAAAGUUGGUAACCUACGAACAAGUAUUGCAUAGCGGAUAAACCAUUCGCAAAGUGAAGUGAAAUAAACUGUGCAUUAGCGAGAAAAUCAUUGAAAGAUUCCAAAGACUGCAGUUACUACUUGUGAGCAGUUUCAGUUGAAUACAAAAUUGAGAGAUAUUUCAAUGAGUUGCAAUAAUAUGGAAGCUCAACAGGCAUCAACAUCUCUGACUGGUACGAAUGUGGAAGUAAUCCCGGCAACCAUGGCAUCAGUUACGAGAAGGAUCUCGCAUUCGUAACCUUUGUAGCGGCUUCCUUGGAAGAAAGUAAGUUCAAGCUGGCCGUAGAGAUGACAGCAGCAGAGAAAUUCGAUGACGUGGUAGUUUUCAAAGAAGAAUCCAAAGAGGUGUUGUUAUUCCAGGCCAAACAUUCCAUAAUGGAGGUCACGUAUUGUUCGACGACCUACUCUCUGAUGAUCCGAGAAAAAGCAAAGACUUUGCUUUUUCUCGGUAUAUUCAAUCUUAUCUGAGGAUUAGAGAAAACAAAGUUUUUGAAAGUUAUAAACCAACAAUCAUUAUAUUCACUAAUAAAUCACUGAAACGAACCGAUGAGCUUAACCAGUUGAUGAAUAUCCAAGUACAAAACGUGAACAGCAACAUAAAAUGGUGCGAUUCUAAGAAAAAUCUUUAUUUUGAGCCACUUAACGAUGAAGCAGUCAGAAAAAUUAAAGAUAUAAUAAAUUCAGAGCUGUUCCAAAUCAAAGAAGACAUAGACAAACUUGUAAAAACUGGAAAAAUUUCCGAUUUGCUGAUGCAAUACAAGACACCAUUGCAAAAUAUUCUUAAAAUUGCUGAUGGAAAAAUAAGUUUCAAAGAGCCUGCAGUGGAUAGCAAAGAUAUGAUAACUCAUCGAUGGAUGCUUGCCAUGUUUAAUUUGAAGCCGAAUGAAAACUUUCCAAUGAAUAGAUUAGAUGA